AUUGAACGCUGGCGGCAGGCUUAACACAUGCAAGUCGAGCGGUAGCACAGGGGAGCUUGCUCCCCGGGUGACGAGCGGCGGACGGGUGAGUAAUGUCUGGGAAACUGCCUGAUGGAGGGGGAUAACUACUGGAAACGGUAGCUAAUACCGCAUAACGUCGCAAGACCAAAGAGGGGGACCUUCGGGCCUCUUGCCAUCAGAUGUGCCCAGAUGGGAUUAGCUAGUAGGUGGGGUAAUGGCUCACCUAGGCGACGAUCCCUAGCUGGUCUGAGAGGAUGACCAGCCACACUGGAACUGAGACACGGUCCAGACUCCUACGGGAGGCAGCAGUGGGGAAUAUUGCACAAUGGGCGCAAGCCUGAUGCAGCCAUGCCGCGUGUGUGAAGAAGGCCUUCGGGUUGUAAAGCACUUUCAGCGAGGAGGAAGGUGGUGAGCUUAAUACGUUCAUCAAUUGACGUUACUCGCAGAAGAAGCA
rnacentral:rRNA from 1 species